rnacentral:rRNA from 1 species
CAUCGCCACGGGAAUACGGAGGAUCCAAGCGUUAUCCGGAUUUAUUGGGUUUAAAGGGUGCGUAGGUGGCCUGUUAAGUCAGGGGUGAAAGACGGUAGCUCAACUAUCGCAGUGCCCUUGAUACUGAUGGGCUUGAAUGAACUAGAGGUAGGCGGAAUGUGACAAGUAGCGGUGAAAUGCAUAGAUAUGUCACAGAACACCAAUUGCGAAGGCAGCUUACUAUGGUUUGAUUGACACUGAGGCACGAAAGCGUGGGGAUCAAACAGGAUUAGAUACCCCCGUAGUCCCUGUCUCUUAUACC